rnacentral:rRNA from 1 species
AGCGAACGCUGGCGGCAGGCUUAACACAUGCAAGUCGAACGGAUCCUUCGGGAUUAGUGGCGGACGGGUGAGUAACACGUGGGAACGUGCCUUUUGGUUCGGAACAACACAGGGAAACUUGUGCUAAUACCGGAUGUCGCCCGUUCGGGGGAAGAUUUAUCGCCAUUAGAGCGGCCCGCGUCUGAUUAGCUAGUUGGUGAGGUAAAGGCUCACCAAGGCUACGAUCAGUAGCUGGUCNGAGAGGAUGAUCAGCCACACUGGACUGAGACACGGCCCAGACUCCUACGGGAGGCAGCAGUGGGGAAUCUUGCGCAAGUGGGGAAACCCUGACGCAGCCAUGCCGCGUGAAUGAUGAA